UCCAGACUCCUACGGGAGGCAGCAGUGGGGAAUAUUGCACAAUGGGGGAAACCCUGAUGCAGCAACGCCGCGUGAGUGAGGAAGUAUUUCGGUAUGUAAAGCUCUAUCAGCAGGGAAGAAGAUGACAGUACCUGAGUAAGAAGCCCCGGCUAACUACGUGCCAGCAGCCGCGGUAAUACGUAGGGGGCAAGCGUUAUCCGGAUUUACUGGGUGUAAAGGGAGCGUAGACGGUUAUGUAAGUCUGGAGUGAAAGCCCGGGGCCCAACCCCGGGACUGCUUUGGAAACUGCCCGGCUAGAGUGCUGGAGAGGUAAGCGGAAUUCCUAGUGUAGCGGUGAAAUGCGUAGAUAUUAGGAGGAACACCAGUGGCGAAGGCGGUCUGCUGGACAGCAACUGACGGUGAGGCGCGAAAGCGUGGGGAGCAAACAGGAUUAGAUACCCGAGUA
rnacentral:rRNA from 1 species